GACGAAUCUAUUGGCUUGCCAAGCCCGCCGCUUACCGGCGACGGGGGAGGGCACCGAAAAGAGGAAUCG
rfam:Ramlibacter sp. Leaf400 contig_9, whole genome shotgun sequence.